GCCCCCUUAACUCAGUGGUAGAGUGUUGCACUUGUAUUUCUGGGUGCUUUGUCAUCUGGAAGCUUCAUGCAUUGGUCAGUCGUUCAAUCCGGCUAGGAGGCA